rfam:Hordeum vulgare subsp. vulgare, WGS project CAJW01000000 data, contig: morex_contig_1567039
CUUAUACUUCCUCCAUUCAAAAAUACUUGUCAUAUGAAUGGAUGUAUUUAGAUAUAUUCUAGUUUUAAAUACAUUCAUUUUUAUAUAUUUAUGCCACAAGUAUUUUUGAACGGAGGGAGUACAUU